UACGAAGGGGGCUAGCGUUGCUCGGAAUCACUGGGCGUAAAGCGCACGUAGGCGGACUCUUAAGUCGGGGGUGAAAUCCUGGAGCUCAACUCCAGAACUGCCUUCGAUACUGGGAGUCUUGAGUUCGGGAGAGGUGAGUGGAACUGCGAGUGUAGAGGUGAAAUUCGUAGAUAUUCGCAAGAACACCAGUGGCGAAGGCGGCUCACUGGCCCGAAACUGACGCUGAGGCACGAAAGCGUGGGGAGCAAACAGG
rnacentral:rRNA from 1 species